GUGUUAAUUGUGUAACAUCUUCUCCAGGAACAAUAAAAGAUCUUUGCAUUUGCAGAUCUGAGCUUUCAUCUUACCAUUGAAACUAUGAAGGAAUGCUAAGGGUCAUGCAAAAGGGCCAGUGACUCUGAAAUAUCAGAUUGGACUCACUCUGCAAGCAAAUUGGACUCUGCAUGGAACCACAGACCAGAAAAACAUUACUUAAAUCCAUUUUUAUCCAGUAUAUCAAAAGAAAAAUGUGAUGACAUGAGUUGCACUUCCCAGGAAUCACACACCUACACUGGUGUUUUUCAUUUAUUCCAAUAUUUAACAUAACUUGAUUGGUGGUAGUGGACUCUAUUAUCUUUUUAUCCAAUGUGUUGUGACUGUCAUUUUUCGCAAUGCUGUGAACAAGACUUGUGCCGAAACGUGUUAGUUGUCAAUUUUAACCUGGAUAUGAAAUAAAGAUCGCAGAUGGAA